GGGGUGUAGCUCAGCUGGUUAGAGCGCCUGCCUGUCACGCAGGAGGUCGCGGGUUCGAGUCCCGUCACUCC
rnacentral:tRNA from 2 species